GAGGCCCCUAAAACGGGUGGAGGACCUGCACCACCACCUCUAACAGAGGCAGAGGAGAUGGCCCUUAGCCAAACUACUGGAAGGCCAGUGGCUGAGGGAAUCCCAGGGGGCAGCUCAUCUGAGCCAGUCACCCCCCAGGACACAAGUGUCUUCAUAACAUACUCUGAGGGACGUCUCCACCUGUUGGAGCCUCAUGUAGCCCAACUCCAGCCUGUUGAUAAUGAAGAUGAAGACACUGUGUCUGCUGUCACAGAAAGGCCUACAGAGG